rnacentral:lncRNA from 1 species
GGGACAGAGAGGCAGAGAGAGAAAAAGAGGCAGAGAGAGAGAGAGAAGCAGAGAGUGGGAGAGGCAGAGAGAGUCGGGGGAGAAACGGAGAGAGGAGGAGAAAAGAGACAGAAAUAGAGAGACACAGAGUGGGAAUAAGAGGGCAGGGAGAGGAGAGAAAGAGACUGACUGAGGGAACAGAGGGAGUCAGGGAGAGAAGGAGGGAGAAAAGGAGAGAGAGGAAGAGACAGGUGGGGAGAGAGGGAGGGAGAAAAGGAGAGAGGGAGGAAGGGACAGAGAGCUUGGCUCAGGGAGGCCAACAAGACUGUUUUACCAGGAACACAGUGAUGAGAACAGAGCUCUGGUCUGGAGGGGCUGAUGCUCCCUGUGGAAGUCACUUCUUCGGAGGGGCUGCGUGCUCUCUACAAGGAAGACGACGUGCUGUGCUAAUUUCAUCUGAAAUUGGGCUUAUGCUGCCUCCCAUAAAGGAAGUUGAA